UGUAAAACGUAUUAAGAAAACAGAGCGAGAGAGAGAGCAGCCCAUGCUUAUAGGUGCUUACUACUUCUCACUGUAUUCAGUCUCCUUCUUGUGUCAAAGAUGCAGGUUGUUAGUGGUGGACAAUCACUUUGGAUAUAUACUCUGCUUAUCACUUCUCUACAACUUUGGGGAAGACUUUCAGCUUCCACUUCCUCUACCACUCUUCCGGCACCUAAACUUGACAUCUAUUCGAGGUCAAAGGACUCAGUGGUUUUGGUCUGCCGGGCCCCAGAGGGUCGCCGAGGGGUUCAGUUCAUGUUGUAUGAAGUCAGAGAAAUGGUGGACUCUCAGGAGCUGCAGUCUGCUGCUGAAGAGGUUCUGUUCACUGUGAGGGUAAAGGAAGGGGAUUCAGUGCAGCUCUUCUGCUGUCUGUACAGGGAACAGGCUGGUCCUUACAGUGUGUUUAGUCCAUAUUUGCAGCUGGAGCACACAAGAGAUGACGCUCCUACUCGCUCCAUGCCCUCUUUCCCAACUCCAGUCUUGUCUGUGAAUCCCUCUACUGGUAGGGUAAAACGUGGGGACAUGUUGUCGUUCAGCUGCUCAGUCCCUCUUCUACCCCAGUCCCAGUCCCAGUCUAGAUAUAACAGAAAACCAGUGGCAUUUCUUUUGCUGAGGGCCGCUAAGCGAACAGGGAUGACAUCUGUAAUCCUCCAGCCUUUGGCCAGUCAGAUAUCAAACCCUGACCCCCAGCCCGGAGUCUUCACUGUGGGGCCAGUGAGGGGAGGAGAGGAGGGCGAGUACACCUGCCUUUACCAGCUCACCAAAAAAAGGGGAUUGGUUAAUUCAACUGUCAGCAACAUGGUUCAAAUCACUAUUACAGACGCGUUGCCAGUUCCCACCCUUGUCUUCCAGCACCAGACGGACGUGUGGCAUUUGCUUUGCACAGGCUCUCCUGCUUACCCCGGUGCUGUGUUCUCCCUCUACCUGGAUGAUAAUGAAUUUCCUGUUGCCACUCAACAUGCCACCUUGAUCAAUCAUCAUGCCACCUUCUCAGUGCCUGUCCAGGACACUCCAGUGGCUUUUUACCAGUGCCAGUACGAUGUCCUCCUGGUAGAGAAAUGGAGCAACUCGGAGCGCAGCCUCCCUUUGGCUGUGACCAGAGGAAUUCCUCCUCCAUCAUCAACAGAUAUGUUCGGUGUGGACUGGCCUCUCGUACUGGGCUCUUUCUCUGUUGUGGUUUUGUUCCUCUGCUCAGUGGCCCUCGUGGUUGUGGUAGCACGCAGGAAAGGUAUGCAUCUCUGCUGUCUCACAUGAUACAUCCCAGAUUGUUUGUCUUCCUUUGUGAAACUUAUAGUUUCCUCUAUUUCUUUUCCUUUUAUUCUUCUUUAAAGUAAAAGCAGCGGCCGAGGAAAAAAAGAAAAGGUAUUGUCUUUUUUUUUGUGCUCAUUAGUGUUCAAGACCAGUAGAUGAUCACUGAGUUUGUCCAUCCAGUAUAAUUGUGUCUCCCUAAAGUUAUCAUAAACGAAUGAGAGAGCCAUGACACAUGUGCAACUGCAAAUAUUUUCCUCAAGUUGGCGGCGUAACAAACUGUUUAAAACAAAAGUAUCAUUAAAACAUGCAGUGUAAAAUUGCUCAAAAUCUGCUUAAAUAUGAUUUAUAGUAUCAAAAUGUAUAAGAGAAAAGUAGUUUCACUUUAGUGAUCCCUCUCCAACAAUAAAGAUUUCACAUAAUAGGGUUGCCUUUACACGGCUCCGAUUUGGGGUUAUCAAGUUGAUUUUCAUCUAACUUGAUAAUUGGUAUUGUAGUAUAACAUGUUGCAUAACUGUUUUAGACAGGAAGCACAGUUCUGGACUCAAGUUCAUGCUAAGGACCAUGUUGUUGGUGAGUUUACGAUCAUAUUUAUAACUUGCUUACAUUUAGCUUCCUUUCAUUUCUUUGAAGCGAUUUGAAUAGUUCUGCAGUAUAUUGCAUGGAACUAAAGAGACAUACUGACAAACCACUGCUUUCCAUGUUUCGCAGACCUUCCACUCAGGCGUACAAGCUGCACCUCUCAGGUAAUUAUUAAUGAAUACCUUAAUCUACAAUCGGUUAUACAAAAUCUUGAGUGAUUUAUCCCCUUUGAUUAAGAAAUAGCUUCUUUUACCUUUGUACUUUCCAUAACAACACUGUGAAUUAAAGGAUAAGUCUGGCUGGCUCAAUACUUUCAGACUUUCACAGUCUGUCUGUGUCCCGCAGCCCCAUCCCCAUUGGUUCCUAUUGGAUAAUCUAAAACAGCUGGACACAUCAGUUCUUGGCAAACAGUACUCAAAUAGGAGUAAAUACUACAUUUUUAGAGUUUCAGCACUUUCAGCAGUGCAUUAAUAUGCAUUUUGUGAUUUCAGUAUUUACAACAGCAGGACGAUGUUUGGAUACUUCAUCAAUUCAUUGAUGGUUUUGGUCUUUUCAUGGGAUUUGUUGACAAUAACAAAAACAUCCGCUAAGCAUGUUUUACUUUGCAAUAGCAAUGUUAUGCAUUUGAACACAAAAAUAAGGCAGAUCAUGUGCAGUUUUCUGAGUCCGCCUCUUUCUUUUGGUAUUUCUGGUAUUUCUGCAGCCUGUACAGUAUGUUUCUCCUGUAGGUUCACUUUGACAAACAACUGUAAACUUCCCUGAUCCCUGCUGUAAACAAACACACACAUACAUGCACAAAUAGACACACAUACACACACACACACACACACACACACACAUACACACACACUGCCAAUCACCAAGCAUGCUGUCAACCCACAUAUAUUUCUCGUUCGUGCGGUAGCGCAGGGUUUGGGUGUGCCUCUCAUUAGCUGUAAUCACAUUUAUUAAUUAGCUCGAUGACAGCCUCUCAUUAGACUAAAGUCUCUCUCCAGACUCUCUCUUUCUCUCUGAGUUACUGAAUAGCCAUCUUAUAGGACAGCAUGCUGUCAUCGCCAGCUGAUGGAAAGACUAACCUGCUAUCAGGAAACAGCCACAGCAGGAGCUGAAUAUUUAACAUGAACAGUGAUCUGGAGUGUCCUCGUCUUACCUUUAACUUAAAGAGCAGUAAUUUCAUCAGAAAUCACACCUGUUUUUUGGUAUAUGUUGGUGCUGUUUUAUUACACUGUGUCGCUUCACAGAUUAGACUGCACUUUGAGUUUUAAAACAUAUUUAAAAUGAAGUCGGUAAACAGUAAGUCAGAUGAAUUGGUACAACUAUAUUUAUUGAGGUUUGCUUUAGAGAAACACUUCAGCCUUCAUCGAGGCCCAUAUGAAGAUGGGAGGUAGGAUCUCUCCGGAAAGGACUGAGUUGCUGUAGGAAUGCAGGCAGAAUCAGACGUUUAUGGUGAGUUAAAUUAGAACAGGAGGACAUAGCAGAAUGUAGGAGAACUUUAUUUAACUUUUGCUUUGAAUAGUAGACGGUUUUUUCUUGAACAUUUUUAUUUUCGUCUUUAUUUGACAGAUUAGUGUAGAAGUGGAGGAGAGCGAGAGAGAGUCCCAAGGCUGGACUCAAACCCAGGACGAUGCUGUUGUAAAUCAUGUGCUGUAACCACUCGGCUACCAAGGCACUCCAUUAACUCAAUAGUUAAUAAUUAUAUUAUUUAUUACUCCAAAGACUAAAAGCAUAUUUCAUCUACAAAACAAUGCUGAAAAAGAAGAAUGUAGACCCCAUCAUGUUCUUGGAGUUUCCGAAAAUGGGACAUUUUAGGGAUGAUAUAUCGGCAGUGAUGAAAGCGAUACUAGGGCAUGAAAUACCCAAGAUGAUGUGUUGUAAUUAGAUACCCAGUCACAGAGGAACCUGUUCAAAAGUAAAAGCAGUGGUAUGAUAUGUACGAUCUCAAAUGAAAUGACAUUAUGCUGAGAUCUUUAACAUCUUGUAUGUGUGUGUUCUGUGUGUGUUUGUGUGUGUUUUGUGUGCAGGAAUGGGCCAGUGUAGACACAGAGACAGCCUCCAGAUCCCCUUUAUGGAACUCACUCUCCACAUUCACAAGCCCGAUCCAUUAGAAAUGUUAGUGUUUUCUCUCUCUCUCUCUCUUUCUCUCUCUCUCUCUCUCUCUCUCUCUCUCUCUCUCUCUCUCUCUCUCUCUCUCUCUCUCUCUCUCUCUCUCUCUCCUCUCUCUCUCUCUCUCUCUCUCUCUGUGUUUAUACUUUAUUCAAGUAUAUCAAUGUAGCAUCAGCUGGAGUUACACAGCAGGACAGGAAGGACUAUUUCCUCAGUUCUUCUAAAAUUGUACAAUUUACAGGAUGUUUGUUUGACCUUACAUGUUAUUGAGCCAGUACAUCUAAAUACAGAUGUUAUUAUCAUUAUGAAGUAAGAAUGAAGUAUGAAUAACUUACCUUAACUUACUUUAAGUCAUUUUGUAGUGCUAUUAGCAGACUUGUUGUACGUUCCAGCAUAAGGGGUGUCACGAUAUACCGGGUAACUGCAAUAUCAAUCUAGUUUAUUGUAAAUCCAUUAGGACAAAAGCGUCAGUAAAAUGUGUUCUAAAAAAUUCAAUAUUGAUAUUUAAUACUACAAUAUGAUAUAUCAUGUAAAUAAUACAGCUACUAUCACACUUUUGUACAGUUUCAGACUCUCGCUCCGCCUUCAUACACCCGUAUAUUGACUGUAAUUAUUUUGCCAAAAAUCACACAAAACGCAAAAUAAACAAAGUUAAAGAUGUAUUUGUCUGAUUUGACUAUUAUUUGAUUGUUUGACUUUUUAUUUAUUUAUAGAUACCGC
ensembl:lncRNA uncharacterized LOC115012641